rnacentral:rRNA from 1 species
GACGAACGCUGGCGGCGUGCUUAACACAUGCAAGUCGAACGGAAAGGCCCUGCUUGCUGGGUACUCGAGUGGCGAACGGGUGAGUAACACGUGGGUGAACCGCCCUGUACUUUGGGGUAUGCCUGGGCAACUGGGUCUAAUACCGGAUAGGAGACAUUUUUAGUGUGGUGGUUGGAAAGAUUUUUGGGUGUGGGGUGAGUUCGCGGCCUGUCUGCUUGUUUGUUGGGUAAUGGCCUACCAAGGCGGCGAAGGGUCGCUGGCCUGGGGGGGUGGACGGCCACAUAGGGACUGAGGAGCGGCCCAGACGGCCACGGGGGGCAACAGGGGGGAAGAUUGCACAAUGGGCGCAAGCCGGAUGCAGCGACCCCGCGGGGUGGAAGACCGCCUUCGGGGUGUAAACUCGUUUCGCUAGGGACGAAGCUUUUUGUGACGGUACCUAGAUAAGAAGCACCGGCUAACUACGUG